UACGUAGGGGGCAAGCGUUGUCCGGAUUUAUUGGGCGUAAAGAGCGCGCAGGCGGCUGGUCAAGUCCGAUGUGAAAUCUCCCGGCUCAACUGGGAAACUGCAUCGGAAACUGAUCGGCUUGAAGAUGGGAGAGGGUAGUGGAAUUCCCGGUGUAGUGGUGAAAUGCGUAGAUAUCGGGAGGAACACCAGUGGCGAAGGCGACUACCUGGCCUGUUCUUGACGCUGAGGCGCGAAAGCUAGGGGAGCAAACGGG
rnacentral:rRNA from 1 species